GCAGUGCCUAGAGAGAAAUGGAGAGCGAGCGAGGUGGCGCCGUUUCCUGGAAUCCAGUCGUGGUCUGGUGCAUGAAGUGUGAGCAGCAAGAUCCUAGAUACUCACCUUACACCUUGGUGCGGAUAACAGAGGCAGAGAUGAGGGCCUAUCACCGUUUAGUAGGAAGUUGCAUCAGGCUGGAAUAUAUGGCAAAAAAAGAUGAAAUUAUGCAGCAGGAAGUCAGGCCCCUGAUGGCGGUGGAGAUAAUAGAACAACUUCACAGACAAUUUGCCAUUCUUUCAGGAGGCCGAGGGGAGGAUGGCGCCCCCAUCAUCACGUUCCCAGAGUUUUCGGGGUUCAAACACAUCCCAGAUGAAGACUUCCUGAAUGUCAUGACCUACCUGACUAGCAUCCCCAGUGUGGAGGCUGCCAGCAUUGGAUUCGUUGUUGUUAUCGACAGACGAAGAGACAAGUGGAGCUCCGUAAAGGCAUCCUUGACACGAAUAGCUGUGGCAUUUCCAGGAAACUUACAGCUCAUAUUCAUCCUUCGUCCAUCUCGCUUUAUCCAGAGGACAUUCACUGACAUUGGCAUUAAAUACUAUCGAAAUGAGUUUAAAACGAAAGUGCCGAUCAUCAUGGUAAACUCUGUCUCUGACCUUCAUGGCUACAUCGACAAAAGCCAACUGACCCGGGAAUUAGGGGGGACUUUGGAAUAUCGCCACGGUCAGUGGGUAAAUCACCGCACUGCCAUCGAAAACUUUGCCUUGACCUUGAAGACCACUGCCCAGAUGCUGCAGACGUUUGGGUCCUGCCUGGCCACAGCAGAGCUGCCCAGAAGCAUGCUAUCCACGGAAGACCUUCUCAUGUCCCACACAAGGCAGCGGGACAAGCUGCAGGAUGAGCUGAAAUUACUUGGAAAGCAGGGGACCACAUUGCUGUCAUGCAUCCAAGAACCAGCAACCAAAUAUCCCAACAGCAAACUCAAUCUCAACCAACUUGAGAAUGUAACUACCAUGGAAAGGUUAUUAGUUCAACUGGAUGAAACAGAAAAAGCCUUUAGUCAGUUUUGGUCUGAGCAUCAUCUGAAGCUUAACCAGUGCCUACAACUACAGCAUUUUGAGCACGAUUUUUGUAAGGGUCUUGCUCUGUCACUCCGGCCGAAGUGCAGUGGUGUGAUCAUGGCUCACUGCAGCUUUGAUCUUCUGGGCUCAAGCUGUCCUCCCACCUCAGCCUCCCAAGUAGCUGGAAUUACAGGCAUGCCCCACCAUCACACCCGGCUAAGCUUGCCCUGGAUAAUUUGCUGGAAGAGCAAGCAGAGUUUACAGGCAUUGGAGACAGCGUGAUGCACGUGGAGCAGCUUCUUAAGGAACACAAAAAACUGGAGGAAAAAAGCCAGGAGCCCCUGGAAAAGGCCCAGCUGCUGGCACUGGUUGGGGACCAGCUCAUCCAAAGCCACCAUUAUGCAGCAGAUGCCAUCAGGCCCCGGUGUGUGGAGCUCAGGCACCUCUGUGACGAUUUCAUCAAUGGAAACAAGAAAAAAUGGGACAUUUUAGGAAAGUCCUUAGAGUUUCAUAGACAGCUGGACAAGGUCAGCCAAUGGUGUGAGGCAGGAAUCUACCUCUUGGCUUCCCAAGCUGUAGACAAGUGCCAGUCUCGAGAAGGGGUUGACAUCGCCUUGAACGACAUUGCGACAUUCCUGGGCACAGUCAAGGAGUACCCGUUGCUCAGCCCCAAGGAGUUUUACAACGAGUUUGAGUUGCUGCUCACCCUCGAUGCAAAGGCCAAAGCCCAGAAAGUUUUGCAGAGGCUGGAUGAUGUCCAGGAAAUAUUUCACAAGAGGCAAGUGAGUCUGAUGAAACUGGCAGCCAAACAGACUCGUCCAGUGCAACCUGUGGCCCCACAUCCUGAGUCUUCACCAAAAUGGGUGUCAUCAAAAACCAGCCAGCCCUCCACCUCGGUCCCUCUAGCUCGUCCUCUGAGAACGUCUGAGGAACCUUAUACGGAGACAGAGUUGAACUCCCGGGGAAAGGAAGAUGAUGAGACUAAAUUUGAAGUCAAGAAUGAAGAAAUCUUUGAAAGCCAUCAUGAAAGGGGGAACCCUGAGCUGGAGCAGCAGGCCAGGCUCGGAGACCUUUCCCCCCGCAGUGUGAUCACAGUGUGCGUUUGUGAGAUGCUGACCUUGGGUGUUCAAUAGAACAGAAUGAACUGACCAGAAACUAAGUAGGCGCAUUAUACGUGACUUGCUUGAGACUGAAGAGAUUUACGUAAAAGAGAUUAAAAGCAUAAUUGAUGGAUACAUCACUCCAAUGGAUUUUAUUUGGCUAAAGCAUCUAAUUCCAGAUGUUCUUCAGAAUAACAAGGACUUUCUCUUUGGGAAUAUUAGAGAACUUUACGAAUUUCACAACAGGACUUUUCUAAAAGAGUUGGAAAAGUGUGCUGAGAACCCUGAACUUCUGGCACAUUGCUUUCUCAAGAGAGUAAGUCUGUACUCCCAGUAAAUAAUCAUGUUAAAGUCAGCCCUUACUUUUCUGUGUUAAGUGGCAAGGACAAAUGGAAACACCAAUGGUCUAAAAACAUAUCUGCUUCCCCCCGACUCCAAGCUUUACUGAAGUAUAAUUGGUAAAUAAAAAUUGCAUAUAUUCAAACUAUACAACAUGAUGGUUUGAUAUACUUACACCCUGUGAAAUGAUUACUGCAAUCAAGUUAAUGAAUACAUUCAUUACCAUUGUGUGUGUGUGUGUGUGUGUGUGUGUAUAUAUGUAUAUAUAUAUAAUCCAAAAAAGUUGAGCUCAUUGAAGUAGAAGGGUGGUUGCCAGGGGCUGGAGUCUACAGGAAGUAGGGAGAUGUUGGUCACAGGGUACAAACUUGCAGUUAUGAGAUGAGUAAGUCCUGGAGAUAUAACGCACAGCAUGGCGACUAUCAUGGAAUAAUACUGUACUGUACACUUGCAAUUUGCCAAGACAGUAUAUCUUGUAUCUGCCCUUUGAAUGGAAAACAUGAGUUGGCCUUCCAACUUUAUCUGACUUUAUCCAAGGUGAGAAUGAGUCCAAUUUGAUUGAGCUCACACUGAUAUGUGGGAGUAACCACAAGCCUGGCUUCCUGCAAAGCCCCAUGAAAUGGAAGGCUGGCCAUCCAUGGUCCCCAAAGCAGAGGAUCCUCUUCUGAAUGACUCAACUACGUUUUAAAACAAGAAUCAUACAGCGAGGUUAGAGUUCCACAAUAAAGCUGUACUAAUGCUCUCAAGAGGAGAAGCACUGGUGUUAAACUAAAAAUCUCAGGAAAUACAUUUUAUUUCCAUUCUAUUUUUUACAACAUAGAGGAUGAUUUGAAAAUUCUAAAUCUACAGCCUCCUUUAGGCUUAGUACUCAAUUUAUGAACAUCUUGGCCUACAACAUUAUACCUCCAACUACCCCUUCUUCCCACCUCCCAGACUUCUUCCCUCUUUCCCUGUUUCUCCACCCUGUUUUAGGCAACAAAUAGGCUAUAUGGGCCAGUGGGAGCUGCCACAGAGAAAUGUUUCACCCAACAUCAAUCCCCACCAGGUACUUUCUAGGACGCGACCAUGGAGAUGAUCCUGACCCCCUGUGCCUUCUAAAUAGUUCUCAUUUCUCCUCUCUUUCUCAACUAGUCCUUCUCAUUCUCUUUCUUAUUUUUCUUUUUGUGAACCCAAGGCAACAAAUCAAACAACUUAAAGUUGUAAGCAACUCAUAUUACGACUGAGGCUGAGAGCAAUACUUAUGAUAACUGGAAGCAAACAAAGCCUCCAGGUUUCAAGAUAUUUGACAUUAAUGGAGAGAAGGAAUCUUCCAUGCUCAGAGCCCUUUGCUGGCCUCAUAUGGCUUUCCAUGUCAACUCAUCAUAGGCUUUGUGUCAAAGCACCAGAAUUCAAUGUACACUGAAAACUAUUUUAUACUCAUUCUGAUUCAUUAAUUUUUUUGAACUAUUACAUUAUUAGUGCUUUAUAUACUAUUUUGAAUUUUUGCACUUAACAAACCACUAAUGUGAAAUCUAGUUUCAGAGAUUAGAAGUAUUUUAUGGUUAUGUAUGUCAUUACUGCAAAGAUUAUUUAAAUUGCUCAAUGAGAAAUGGGCAAAGUUCCUGUGGGAAAGUGGAUAUUAUCAAAUUGUUCAAAUAUGAGGAAAUUGUCAGAGAAUUAUUAACUAAAUACCUUUUCUGAAUUCCUCUCCUAAAUUGUAAAGUUUUACAAAGUUUUUUGAUAGCGCCCCGCCAUGUUGGGAGGAACAUUGUAAAUCAUUAACCCAGACAGAAAACACUGACUUAGCCCUAUAUGAUUUAUGAUGUUAGAGACAAAAUACAAGUAGUACUUUUUUUUUUUCUUGAGACGGAGUCUCGCUCUGUCACCAGGCUGGAGUGCUGUGGCGUGAUCUCGGCUCACUGCAACCUCUGACUCCCUGGUUCAAGCGAUUCUCCUGCCUCACCCUCCCUCGUAGCUGGGAUUACAGGCAUGUGCCACCACGCCCGGCUAAUUUUUGUAUUUUUAGUAGAGACGAGGUUUCAUCAUGUUGGCCAGGAUGGUCUCCAUCUCCUGACCUCGUGAUCUGCCCACCUCGGCCUUCCAAGAUAAUGAAUUUUGAAAUAGUUUUCUGACCAAGUGUUUUAAUCAGCCUCUUUAGCCUGUAUCUUCUGAAACAAUUCUCCUCCAGAGACCAUGUUCUAUAUAGAAUAAUAUUUGUCCAUAGUGUACUGUGGGUUCCAAGUGCUCUGAGAUCUCACAUGGUAAAAUGGAAAGAGCACUGGAAUGGGUGCUCACACUGAUAUGUGGGAGUAACUGGUAAGUCAGGAAACACGAUUUAUCAUGUUGGUCAAGCCACUUGCUAUCUGCAUGACCUCCAGUAAAUAACUUAAACUUUGGAAUCUCAUUUUCCUCCUCCACACAACAGGCUAAUAGUACCAAUAUGUACAGUUGUUGUGGGAAACAAAAUAAUGUAUGCAGAGGAUUCCAUAAAGUAAAAAGUGCUUUGACAAUAGCCACCAUUUUUUGAGUACUCUAUCCAUUGGGCAUUUGUGGAGAGGUUUCUAUACAUCAUCUCAUUUAAUCUCACAACAGUCACAGGAGUUGACUACUGUUAUGCGCCCACUUAACAGAUGAGGAAACUGAAGUCUAGGAAGGUUAGGUAACUUACUUUAGGCCAUAUAAUUUGUAUUUGACAAAGCCAAGAACUGAACCUGGACAAUCCGCCACCAGAGCCCCGCAGUCUUAAUCCGUAAGCAAUUAUGUAUUCUUAUGUGAAUAUGAGUUUCUGGUAGCAAUUUUAUAGCCUCCUGAUUCAUUCUAUAAGGAGAUUAGGAGAAUAGGGCACUUUUGUAUGUUGCUGGUUAGUGGACAUCCUUUCUCUGAGGAAUUUUGGACUGUUAGCCUUUAGAAGAGCAAUUUAGGUCAAUACUAUAUUGUUAAGCUCUGAGUUAUUAUUCUAGCUCCUUAACCAGUCUGAACAUUUUUCAAGGGCCAUCUGUCUUAAAUGUGUGUGCCAUUUUUUUCCUGGAGGGAAUAGCAAAGGACGGUUGCUGUAGUUCUUAUGCUGAAAUGACCACUUACAACCUAUUGGGAGAAAGAAAGAGCUACAGAAAUGGAAGUCAUCCACUAUAGCAAUGUAUUCAGGAGUAGAACAGGCAUCAUUGAAGCUGCGAGGGAAGAAAUCAUCUGUGUUGACAUGAAGGAAAUCCAGAGUUGGGCUGAGCAGGAGGACAGGGACACAGACUUCUGCAAGGAGGUGGCUACCUGGGCUUCUCCACCAGAAUGGCAUGGGAUCUGUGGCCAGCACAGCCGCUGUGGGCCAGGCUUCCUGAUAGAGCGAGUGAAGCUGGCAAGCUGACGCCAGAAGCUUGGAGUGUGCUUUCUCUCCGGGAUAUUGGCAGAUAUGUGCCCACCUCUCAGCAUCUUUGAUACCAUGAGAAUACAGGUUGAACAGCACGUUGAGUCCUCCUUGCUCUCUAGCUCCGAAACAGUCACAUAACAUUUCCUGUCUCAGAGUCUUGUGCUGCAGGUUGAAAGUGAUGUUUGAGGCGGAGCCUGUCACUUUGAGGGUUGCCCAAAUGACUGAGCUCCGUAUUGGUUGCCCGAUCUACCACAUCUCCCCUCUGGCAUGUUUCCAUCUUUUGGUUGUUUCUUGGGCUUCUUUGCAGGGUUGGUGUCACGAUGACCACAAGGAGAGGGUGGAGAGAGAAGAGAGGGGGACCAUCAAACACCAGCCUCUUUUCUGUCAGUUUUACUACUCAUUGCAGACCUGUUGUGGGGAGAUGUCGAUGUCCUGGACAAAGGGCAGGAAAAGAAUGAUAAAGAUAAAAACCAAUUCCUGUUUGUGAGUCUACUUAUGUAUUUACCAAUAGCCCUUGUAGAUGCUCCCAGAGCACUCUGUGCCUAUCUAUGUCUGGUAGUUAUGGUUGUUUAAAGCCUUCUGUUUAUCUCUCCAUCACACACACAUCCCAACAUAAGAUUACUUACUGUAUACCCCCAAUUCCUUACACAUUAGAAUACUCUGGCUUGUUGAAUGAAUGAAUAAACUGUAUCAUCCUGUCCACUUACUGAAAAAUGCUGCCCGAUUAAUUUAUUCUAAUUUUUUCCCACCUAGAAAGAAGAUCUUCAGAUAUAUUUUAAAUACCAUAAGAAUCUGCCCCGAGCUAGGGCAAUCUGGCAAGAGUGUCAAGACUGCGCCUACUUUGGGGUAUGCCAGCGCCAACUGGAUCACAAUCUCCCUCUUUUUAAGUAUCUUAAAGGACCAAGCCAGAGACUUAUAAAAUACCAGAUGCUGUUGAAGGGUCUGCUGGAUUUCGAGUCUCCUGAAGAUAUGGAGAUAGACCCAGGUGAACUAGGAGGCUCGGCUAAGGAUGGGCCAAAGAGAACCAAAGAUUCAGCAUUCUCAACUGAACUACAACAAGCUUUGGCAGUGAUAGAGGAUUUGAUCAAGUCCUGUGAGUUGGCUGUGGACCUAGCAGCAGUGACUGAAUGUCCGGACGAUAUUGGAAAACUAGGCAAGCUGUUGCUGCACGGCCCUUUCAGUGUCUGGACAAUUCACAAGGAUCGUUAUAAAAUGAAGGAUUUGAUUCGAUUUAAACCCAGCCAGAGGCAAAUCUACCUAUUUGAAAGGGGAAUAGUGUUCUGUAAGAUACGAAUGGAGCCUGGGGACCAGGGAUUGUCUCCUCAUUACAGCUUCAAGAAGGCCAUGAAGCUGAUGACACUUUCAAUUCGCCAGCUUGGAAGGGGGAGUCAUAGAAAGUUUGAGAUUGCCAGUCGAAAUGGACUUGAGAAAUACAUCCUGCAGGCAGCUUCAAAAGAAACCAGAGACUGUUGGUUUUCAGAAAUAAGUAAAUUAUUGAUGGAACAACAAAAUAAUAUCAAAGACCAAGGAAAUCCACAGUUUGAAAUGAGCACGAGCAAAGGCAAUGGAGCAGGAUGCGGACCAUGGAUUAAAAAUAUGGAAAGAGCUACCACUAGCAAGGAAGACCCAGCCUCCAGCACAGGAGGGAUUAAAGGUAGGGAGGGUCCCAUGGGAGAGUGGAGCACAGAAGCAGUGGGGUGAUGCCGGCUGCUUAGAUGCUAAGGAAGACAUCACCUAGGGCCCAGCCCUUCUUUAGUUAAAUGAGGGAGAAAAAAGAAAGCAUUUUACCACCAUGUGGUUUAAAAUCAAUUUCCUGCUAUUCAUUUGUGUAGAACUAAUGGGGCAGAAUUAACAUGAAGGGCAAAUGUCUCACAUUGAGAAGUACAGGAGCACCCCCUUAUCCACUGUUUCACUUUCCAGGUUUUAGUUACUCUUAGUCAACUGCUGUCCAAAUAUCAAAUGGAAAAAUUACAGAAAUAAACAAUCGAUGAGUUUUAAAUGAUA
rnacentral:sRNA from 1 species